UCCCUGGUGGCUCAGACAGUAAAGAAUCUGUCUGCAAUGCAGGAGACCCAGGUUUGAUCCCUGGGUUGGGAA
rnacentral:tRNA from 1 species